GACGAAGGGUGCAAGCGUUAUCCGGAUUCAUUGGGUUUAAAGGGCGCGUAGGCGGCCUUAUAAGUCAGUGGUGAAAUCUCUCAGCUUAACUGAGAAAUUGCCAUUGAUACUGUAGGGCUUGAGUACAGAUGCCGUUGGCGGAAUAUGACAUGUAGUGGUGAAAUGCAUAGAGAUGUCAUAGAACACCGAUUGCGAAGGCAGCUGACGAAACUGUAACUGACACUGAGGCUCGAAAGUGCGGGGAUCAAACAGG
rnacentral:rRNA from 1 species